rnacentral:piRNA from 1 species
UGCAGGAUCUAUAGAUGUGUCCCUCUCUGA